rnacentral:rRNA from 1 species
UAUGGUUUAGUGGCGACGGGUGAGUAACACGUGAGCAACCUACCUUUCAGAGGGGGAGUAACAGUUGGAAACGACUGCUAAUACCGCAUAACGUUGUAAAAGGGCAUCCAUUUACACCAAAAGAGAAAUCUGCUGAAAGAUGGGCUCGCGGCCGAUUAGAUAGUAGGCGGGGUAACGGCCCACCUAGUCAACGAUCGGUAGCCGGACUGAGAGGUUGAACGGCCACAUUGGGACUGAGACACGGCCCAGACUCCUACGGGAGGCAGCAG